UCGUUGAACCACUCAUCUUUUUGCCGUUCUUUUUUUCCUUUUUCUUUCUCUC
rnacentral:ribozyme from 1 species